UGUACAUGUUGAUAAACUUUAUGAAGAGUUAGACGUACAACACUUUCUGAGAUAAAAAUCACGGAAAAAGACGCAGGCAGUGGAUAAUCCGAGAAUUUAAUUAGGUUUUUAUAUUUGUAAUAAAUAGUCAGCGAUUAAAGACAACAUCGUCUUGUGUAUGCAAUGCAUUUACUAUUUUAGUGUAUACGUGUAGUCAGUGCCGGACUGGGGCCACCUGUCCACCUGUCCGUGACAGGUGGGCCUAAGCUCAUUAAAAAAAAGUGGGCCUAAGCCUAUAAACAAAAAAGAAAAAAGAGAAAGAAAGGAGAGGGGGGAGAAAAGAAAGAAAGAAGGAGCGGGCAGGACACAGGACUGGAGAAAGAAAUGAUUGGAAAAAAAUGACUGACAAACAACACAAAAAAAGAAGUGUACUAGAAUUCUCAAAUUCAUCUAAUGAUAGUGCUCUUAGGUCAUUCUGUUAUCUAAUUGUACCAGGAAAUCAAAAAUUUGCCUUCUUCUGCUUUGGUCUGAAAUGCUUGGAAAAUGGGUUUGCGGUUGACAAUUUUCAAACCUUUUCUGGGAGAAGAAGCCACCCAGACCCCCCUCGGACGUUUUCGCGCCUUUGGCACGCUCGUGACGCGCCGUCGGCGCGUACUUGUGUGGGUCUUGGUCAAUGACCUGACAGAGUCCAGCAGUGCAUGUAGUUAAGACCAUGCCUUCCACUUUGGAAUGGUGAAUGACUCAUGUCUUAUGUGCCUUACUACUGGAAUGACCCCUGUUAGCCCUGUACUGAAGUCAAAGGGCAUUCCCGAACUUAGGGUACUUCCACUGAACUCAGUGGCAUGUCUGGAAUUUUAUGCUUAUUCUGAUAGGCGACGGCCAAGGUUUGGAUAUCUUGAGAAUUUUCACUUGGUUUCCGGCUCUGGGUACACCAUAUAUUAAACCUUUCGAUAGUUGGAGAUUUCUGCAAUGGUUUUGUGUAAUAUCAUUAAGAAUCGAAUGAUUUUUCAAUGAUCAAUAAAGGAUGGGCAGGGAUGGAUUUAAUUUAUUCUCUAUGACAUGAAUGAUACAUUAAACCAUGUAAAAUAGACAUGCGCAUUCUUUUCUUUGUUUUGUAAUCAAUCGAAUACCCACCAGAAAUAUUAGCCAAUCACAGUGCAGGCUUGUAUAGCGAACACAUAGGUAGCUGAUUCUUUACAGGUGAUCUGAAUUAUGGAACGCCAAACUAACAUAAAAUCAAUUCACUGCCAAUGGGUCCCGUCAAUUAAAUGAAUAUUUGUAAAUUUGUCGUUCCAUACAGCUAGAGACGCCGAUUCGAACAACCCAGUCGCCUGGUAACCGUGGUGAGUACUUUUCAGAUACAAACUUUAGAAAGCAAACAUCCCCCAACCGUCCUUCAAUUUGAAAUUGAGCGGCCAAGUGAAAGCAUCUAUUCACAUUAGCCAAAUAUAGGAUACGUCUCUCAUCUCAAACAGACAUAUCUCCUGUUAUCGGUCGGACGAUGGCGGCGUGGUAGUUCUUCUUUGGAUUGCACUAAAGGAGACAAGAAGUUUAUGGUAUCAUAGAGAGGUCCACACACGUUAUUAUUUAUCUUAUACUGGGUCUGUCUUUAUAUUCUGGCUGGUUGAUGUGUAUAAGCUUGGCUUGUGCACCAGAUUCCUUUGUAAAUAUCAUGUGAAGUUUUCCAUGAUGUAUUAAUAGGUUUUUUUUGGUUGAAAGUUGUAGACAUGGGGAGUAAUUAAAUUGGGAUAUAUUAAUAUGGCAUCAAUCAACUAAUCCCACAUCUCCUUUAGGCAACUAAUAUUUUCUUUUUGGGGUUCUUCUUUUGUUUGUUUUUUUUUGCAUGUUUUUCACUGCAUUUGCUUAAGUAAGGGGUGCUAUAUUUAAUAUAUUCUGAUAUUUGGUUUAUCUUAGAUUUUUAAUGCCCUUAAUGUAUAUUGCAAAUUUCUCAUGAGAGUCCAGUAAAGAUAAUCUUGUAUAACGUGUUUCUAUGAUAAACUUAGAUGUAUUGUUGAUAGUGGGGUCUAGAGAGUUUACGGAUACAGGAUCGUGGGGAUAUGUUUGUAAGGGACGUAUGAAGACGGUGAUAGUUGUGGAUGAGCAGGACACACAGCAUAUUAUACAUGGAGGUAUUAUUGUACAGACAAUUGUUAUGCAAUCGAUGAGGACCACAACAAUGUUAAGACGCCGAAUGAUCAAUAUGACGAUUACCACUGGUAUAGGAGAACAGACAGGCUGUGAUUUGGAUAGAUGUCAAGCGGCAGUUUAUGGUACCGGGAACUCGACUGGGAAAUGGAAGUUGCAUAGGGAAAUUCUAGAUUGGCAAUAACAGGUUUAUGUUUUUUCUGUAUGUAUUGUAUAUAUUUUCUAAAUUUUCAUGGGUCUGUCUGAUAGGUACAGUAAAGGACAUUCUGUUGACUAGUUUGAAACACAUCUUAAAAUGGGGACCCCUUGGAAACACUGACUUUUAGUUAGGCUUGAGGUGUAAAACUACUUAAGGGACCGAGUCUAUCUGUUAUGUCUAGGGUAACAUGUCAUAACUUCAACAACAACGAUCACAUCGAAGAUGUUUACCUCUAUCGGGAGAAAACACACCGACGACCAGAUGGGACGGACAGUUUCUUCAUACAUACAGAAAAUAAACACCAUAACUUCAUCAACAAAGAUCACACCGAAUAUGUUUAUCUCUAUCGGGAGAAAACACCGACGUUCAGAUGGGACGGACAGUUUCUUCAUACAUACACAAAAUAAACACCAUAACUUCAACAACAAAGAUCACACCGAAUAUGUUUAUCUCUAUCGGGAGAAAACACCGACGGUCAGAUGGGACGGACAGUUUCUUCAUACAUACACAAAAUAAACACCAUAACUUCAACAACAAAGAUCACACCGAAUAUGUUUAUCUCUAUCGGGAGAAAACACCGACGGUCAGAUGGGACGGACAGUUUCUUCAUACAUACACAAAAUAAACACCAUAACUUCAACAAAGAUCACACCGAAUAUGUUUGUCUCUAUCGAGAGAAAACACACCGACGGUCAGAUGGGACGAACAGUUUCUUCUAUAUCCCGAAAACACAACAUAAACAGAUACUUCACUAGUCUACAGACACAACAUAAGUUUCUUCACUAGUCUACAGACACUACAGACACAAAAGUUUCUUCACUAUUCUACAUACACAAAGAUUCGGGGUUCCUUGCAGCCAGGUGGCGAGACCUGUGCUUGAGGUUAUUGUCUGGAGAUUAGAAAUGGUGGUAAUGGUUGUAGGCUGCAGACGUACCAUUACUUCUUAGAACAUGUACACAACUACAUUCAGUCCAAUUUAGGACUUCCGUUCUUUUCGAAUUGUGAUCACCACACAAUUAUAAGACAGACCAUAACGCAAGGGUUAUGACAUUGUUAAUCUUAACACGAUUCUGGAUGAAAUAUAUUACAAACUUCUGUCUCCUACGAAGUUUUCCGUUUUCCGUCGAUUCUGGUGUGCACACCCCAUUCAUUGGCCUUCGACGGGGGCAGUUAUCUUUGAAGACUUGAAAUUGGCCACCCAGUUAUCUCUAAUAGUUAGUUUACUGUUAUAUCUUAUAGCUAUAUAGGCAGUUUGCUUCGUUUCUCUAGAACAUUACAUUUGGGCUUGUUUCAUCAUGUAGAGUUUAAACCGAUAUCUUCACUAAAAGUCUAUCAAAUCACUUCUCUAUGUAAAGGUGUGUCCAAGACUGGUUAGCAGGUGUUCCUUUACUGUAACAUUUUGAUUCACAAAUUGAUGGGGUUCGUUUGCAAUUUGGAUUUAACUAUUGUUAUAUAUCACCAACGGUCAUCAAUUUAUCUAAAUAAGCUUGUUAUUGCCAUCAAUUUAUCUAAAUAAGCUUGUUAUUUCCAUCAAUUUAUCUAAAUAAGCUUGUUAUUGCCAAACUAGUAUUUUUCUAAUGAAGUCGUCUACAGAUGUCUACUGUUAUUAUUGUUUAUUUAUAUUAUAUUCAUGAUUAUGUUUAUUUACAAUGUAAGGUCAGUAGUGAGUAAACACUUCCAGUUGAUCAGAGCACUUGGGAAAAUCCUACCUCCCCCUUCCUAAAUGGGAGUUAGGGUUGGGUAGCCGGCUCGCAAUACUGACCAUUGAUGUUAGAAACGCUUACAAAGAUCAGAAUAUUUAGUUUUGGGUAACAUUAUACUUUAUAAGUACAUAUGAGGUCAACAUUCAAAAUUUUUCAUUGUCUAUAAUGUGUAUUGUGUUUGUCGUUGGUAACUCAAUCCGCCAUUUUAAAUAACCAUUUCAAAAAUACAAUUUUUUUCGAGGGG